rnacentral:rRNA from 1 species
GAUAUGGCUCAGGAUGAACGCUGGCGGCGUGCCUAAUACAUGCAAGUCGAACGCGCAGCGAGAGGUGCUUGCACCUUUCAAGCGAGUGGCGAACGGGUGAGUAACACGUGGAUAACCUGCCUCAAGGCUGGGGAUAACAUUUGGAAACAGAUGCUAAUACCGAAUAAAACUUAGUAUCGCAUGAUAUCAAGUUAAAAGGCGCUACGGCGUCACCUAGAGAUGGAUCCGCGGUG